UAUCCAGAAAUAUAUCAAAGAUGGGUUUUAUGUUGUGUGCGAGAAAACCUGCUUCAGUGUGAACACUUGAGGGUUUAUAAUAAUUUUCGAGUUUGUGAUAAGCCUUUUCGACGAGAGGAUGUUGGACGCAACAACAAAUUGUUGAAAGGAGUAGUACCAUCAUUAAAUUUGCCAGUAUGUGUAUAAAAUUAUCAAAAUGUUGUUAGGACUGAGGCAUUUUUUUUUCACAUGUAGGAUAUCAGUACUUAGAAGUCACUACUUCAAGUGCUUCGAAUAACACGCCCACUACUCCACAUGCAGAUAUGGGACUUUAGGUUGCUUCAACAUCCACCAGUGCAAUCUCAUUGGAGACUUCAGGGUAACCCCGCUUAAAGGGGAAACAGCGUUAGUCAGGAUCAUUAUUGGAUAUUUUUUGACAGCUAAACAGUUUAUUGGAGGAAGUUGGUGUCCACAAACAAGACGACUUAUCACCAAAAGCCCAACAUUUAUACAGGAAAGCAGUGAUGUAUAAGAGGAAAUUCCAGCGCCAGAGUAUAACAUCCUAAA